CUGGUCUGUGUAAUAGUACUAGCAUUUACAUAUGCUAGCAAUGAGCUGCAAACUUACACCACAUUUACAAAAAGUAAGCUGUCUUCAAUAUUUUUCCUAUUUCAAAUUUUCGUUUAAAGACCUUAGUCACUAAGCUAUCUUAUUCUUAGUACAUGUACUGUGUUGGUCUGUGUUAUAGUACUAGCACUUACAUGUGCUUGGGAUAAGGUGCUUACUUAAAC
rnacentral:lncRNA from 1 species